AUUCCCCCCGCUAGCUA
rnacentral:tRNA from 1 species